GUCUUGGGCACAGGUGCCCUUCAUGCUGAAGGAAAUGCAGGGUCACCAGCUCCUAAGACAGCUUGUUACCUGGGGCCGCUGCAGCAGUCAGGUCUGCGGGGCAUGGGCUUGCCCUUUUGUGUCUUCCUUUUGACACCCUGCCUCUAUCCUUCCCAGGAGGAGCCCAGCGAUGGUGGCUGAGCCCCAGGUGAGCUGGCCUUUGGGGAACAGUUGCUGCCCAAGGCCUCUCCCCCUCAGCCUGGAGCCCCUUGCCCAGCAGACCCUUGGGGCCCUGAGAACAGAAUCUCCCUCCUCAGAUCCAGGCCCACCCCACUAGCUGCCCCUUCCACAGAGCUGAGCAGGAUGCAGGGCCCUAAGGGGAGAGCCCAGUUUUGAGAGCUCUGUGUUUCCAUAGUCACACCUUCCCUGCCCAACCUACCCCUAGCUCUUUUCCUAAACAUCUGCCUGGAAGGUAGGGAGAUGCACGUAGAGCCUCUUGCUAGAAACUCAGUCCAAGCUGCAAGGUGCAUUUGCCCUUGGGCAGGGGUGAGGCUCUCUGGGCAGUGAGCACCUGUGAUUCCAGGGCACAGUGAUGUUUGAGGAGGUGGCCAUGUACCUCACACAGGAGGAGGGGCAGCACCUGGGACCCCCUCAGAGAGCACUCUACCAGGAUGUGAUGCUCGAGAACCACUGCACCCUACCAGCUCUGGAUAAGCAUCACAUGGUGGGCUUCAGGUCCCUGCUCCCCAUCCCCAGGUGACUGGUCCCCUGGGCUCUCUUGACUCAUAGACCAAAUAUCCCCAGUCCAUGCUGGGGUGCUCGUGUCCCAGCAGGGAGUGCCCAGUGAUCUCAUCACCCAUUCUUUCUUCUCGAGACCUCCUCUGGAUCCCCCUCCUCUUGCAGCCUCUGUGGCCCUCAGCCAGGGGCAGCUCAGAUAUUCUAGCACUGACCAUUAUCUUCUUGAUAGACAGGUUUUUCAGUGUCCACACUCAGGGUUAUCUCCCAGCAGGAGCAGGGGAAAAUGCCAUGGGUCAUUGCUCUGCCAGGGCCUCCCUGCACAGGUGAGUGAGGAGAUUCCUAGGUCAAAACAAAGCAUAAACAAUCAACGCCAACAGAAAAAUCUUCCGAAGAACAAUUACAAGAAGUAACUCAGGAAAUUUUCCCAAGAGGCAAUCCAGAAGAGUUUGAGUUUCGAUCAGCUUGUAGGACUGAGACAGGAGCAGAACAUUGCUGGAAGAAAUUCACAAUACAGACCAGGAUGAAGUUAUUUCCCCAAAAGAGAGGUUCGAGGCAAGUGGUCAGCUCCCCGUUGAAAAUCAUUGUAGCAGACAAAUACCGGGAAUGUAAUAAAUUGGAGAAAAGUUUGUCUCUGGGCACAAAGCCUGUUGUACCUCUGAGGGACAGGCCAGGAAAGAGAGCCAGUGGAUGGAGGAUGGGUGGCUGAGGCUUUCCAUGUGAGUCAUAUCUGAGUGGACAUCGGGCAGUUACCAGUGGGACAAAGCCCCAUGGAUGCCAUGUGUAUGGGAAGUCUUUCAGCAAGAACUCACACCUUACUUGGCAUCAGAUAAUUCAUACUACAGAGAAGCCCUGUGUAUGUAUUGAAUGUGGGGAAAAAAACACAACUCAAGCCUUAUACAUCAUCAGAAAAUUCACCAUGGAUGGUGAAACCCUAUCUCUACUAAAAACACAAAAAUUAUCUGGGUGUGGUGGUGUAUGCUGGUAAUCCUGGCUACUCAGGAGGCUGAGGCAGAAGAAUUGCUUGAACCAGGGAGGCGGAGGUUGCAUUGAGCUGAGAUUGCGGCACUGCACUCCAGCCUGGGCGACAGAGUGAGACUCCAUCUCAAAAGAAAAGAAAAGAAAAGAAAAUUCAUGGUGGAGAAAAACCCUGUGUGUGUAGUGAAUGUGGUAAGGGCUUUAGGGAGACAUCAAAGCUUGUUAAACAUCAGAGAAUUCAUACUGGAGAAAAGCCCUAUAGGUGGGAUGAAUGUGACAAAGCCUUUAGUGGGAAUUCAAACCUUAUUAAACACCAACUGAUACAUACUGGAGAGAAGCCCUAUAAAUGUAUUGAGUGCGGGAAAGCCUUUAAUCCGAAAGCAAAUCCCAUGCAAUAUCAGAGAAUUCAUACAGGAGAGAAACUUUUUGAAUGUCAAGAGUGUGGAAAAAGCUUCAGUCAGCCAUCACACGUGAUUCAUAAUCAAAGGAAGCAUGCUUGAGAGAAGCCCUACAAAUGCAGUGAGUGUGGAAGGGGCUUCAAACAUCACACCUGAUUGAUCAUCAAAGAAUACACACUGGAGAGAAAACUUAUGUGUGUGUCAUGUGGGAGAGGCUUUAUUCAGAUGUCACACUUGAUUCAUUGCCACAGAACACAUUCUGUAGAGAAGCCACAUGCAUGUAGUGUAUGUGGGAAAUGCUUCAGCCAGAGCUCAACCCUUAUUAGACAUUAGGUUGUUCACAUUAUGGAUAGGAAGUAUAAGUUAAAGGAAUGUGGGCAGGCUUUCAGUGUGAGCUAGCUUCUCAGUCACUAUCUCACAAAUUCUACUGGAGAGGAACCCCUCAAUUCAUACAGGAGAGAAGAGCAUCCAAGAAUGCAACAAAGGUGGGAAGACUUUCAUUGUAGCUCAUUAUAUAAUGUCAGAGAGUUCCUGUUGGAGAGAACCCCUAUGGAUGUAAUGAAUGUUGAAAAAGCAUUUAUUUGGAACUCACAUAUUAUUUACAAUGAGAUAAUUCAUAGAGGAUAUAAUGGAUAUGAGAGGCUUUGGUGUACUGUGGGAAGUAGGUGGAAAUGUGGGUUCCUGCUAUUGCCAGCUGCUCCCUUUUGAAUAAACUGCCCUAGCAGGUGCUUGCCCCAGGGUGGCCAUGCUCUGUAGGGAAUCUUGCUUUAGACUGGGAUUGUAAGAUGGAGACAAAGACAGCCUUAUUCCUGGCUGGGAAUGCCACUGGAAAUGCUAGGGGAGGCCAGUGGUCCAUGGCGUGGCCUGAUCUCAAAUAUGCAGAAACCAGAAGCAGAGACCAGACCCAGAGAGAGGCAGAUAAAUGCAACCCCCAAAGUGGAUGCACAGGAAAAUGGAAAACUACUAGAGUUAGUGUUGGGUCUCCAGAGCUGCCUUUUUAUCCUGAACAAUGAUGAGCAAUGACUCCAGGUCUUCGUGAAACCAAACAGAAUAGCUGAGGCAGCUUCCUACACCUCUGCACUAAGUUUUUUAAAUCUGAAAGCAUGUAGAAUGAGUGUCAGCCGCACCAACAUGUAGGAUCUGUCUUUUAAUCAGAAGGCAAUCCGUUGUGGCUACUGGCUAUACUGAAAACAUAACAUUAUUUUAACAUAAUCCUUCAGCAGCUUAGGAUAAAAUCCUUGACUUUAGAAUGAAGUUUUCACUAUGAAAUGAAAUCAAGGCUGGGCACAGUGGCUUAUGCUUGUAAUCCCAGCACUCUGAGAGACCAAGAUGGAUCACUCGAGGCCAGGACUUUUGAGACCAGCCUGGCAACAUGGUGAGACCCCAUCUCUACAAAUAAAUAAAAUUAGCUAGGCAUGGUGGGAGGAUCAUUUGAACCCAGGAGGUUGAGGCUGGAGUGAGCCAUGAUUUCACUACUGUACUCUGUCCUGGGCAACAGAGCGAGCCUCUGUCCUAAAAAUAUGUGUGUUAAAGAUUACUUAUAUCUAGUUCAUACCUCCUAAAGGUAAUUUGAAUUGAAAUAGUGAUGCAUACAAUAAGGUCAUUAAAGUAGAAACAGAAAAUAAAGGAUUAUAAAGCCAUUGAUGGUAAGAGCAAUUGAUUUUGUGAACUACAAAUCAUAGAUUUAACUGAAUAGUUUGUUGUUUAUACAAAAUAGCUGUUGAAAAGUUUCUGACUGACUGGGUGCAGUGGCUUAUGCCUAUAAUCCCAGCACUUUUGGAGGCCAAGGCAGGUGGAUCACUUGAGAACAGCCUGGCCAACAUGGAGAAACUCUGUUUCUACUAAAAAUACAAAAAUUAGCCAGGCAUGGUGGUGCACGCCUGUAAUCCCAGCUACUCCAGUGAGUCAAGAGAAUUGGUUGAACCCAGGAGGCAGAGGUUGCAGUGAGCUGAGAUCACACCACUGCACUCCAGCCUGGGUGACGGAGUGAAACUCUUGUCUCAAAAAAAAAAAAAAGUUUCUGGUUAGAUUUUUCCUCUAGGCGCAAUCUGAGGAGAAAGGAGGAAAGCUUGGAGAGGAACACAGCUAUGAAAUGCAUCCAUCUGCCCCUCCUUCGUCAUCAGGCAAUGGCACAAUCUGAGCCAGGAAUGACCCUCUGUCUUCCAAGGCCUGAGGUGCAGAGAAGAGCAACCAAGCCCACAUAAUCUUCCAGGGUUCCAACCCCAGUCCUGGGUAUAAGAAGCAAGCUGUUGCCUUAUAUGUGUUAAAAAGAAGAGAGGGGCUGGGUGCAGUGGCUUACGCCUGUAAUCCCAACACUUUGGGAGGCUGAGGCAGGAGGAUCACUUGAGGCCAGGAGUUCAAGACUAGACUACAAAGUGAGACCCUGUCUCUACAAAAAAAAAAAGAAAAAUUACAAAUUAGUCAGGUGUGGUGGCCUGCACAUGUAGUUCCAGAUACUUGGGAGGCUGAGGCAGGAGGAUCGCUUGAGGCCAGAAGUUUGAGACUACAGUGAGCCGUGACUGCCCCACUGAACUCCAGUCUGGGUGAUAGAGACCACCUGGUCGCUAAUUAAAAAUUGUUUUCAAAAGGGAGGGGAGGGUAGACUCUUGAGUCUUGUCUACAAUUCUGUACUCCUUUCAGGGAAAACGGACCUUACAUUCAUAAAAGGGGAGCCACAGCAGCUGUUGUCACCAACAGGUGCUUUUGUGCAUCACUGAUUUGUGUCUGGCUCACUCACUUCCACUUGUCCUGUUGUGCACACCGUUGGAUGCCAGGUGACACUUGCCAAGGUCGUAAGUGCCACAGGACUUGCAGUGAAGGGAAGGGUUGAUUGGGGAAGAGGGAUGAGGAAGGUUUGGAUGAAGGGAUAGAACUGGGCCUUGAAGGAUUGACAAGAUGAUGGCAGAAGGAACACAGAUGAGCUGGGAAGAGGCUGAUACUCUCAGAUGCCGUGGAGUUGGGAGUGUGAGGACCCGGGAAGGACUGGGAUCCUGCAGAGCCUGGCCUUGCAGGCCCUGCUGGGGAGUGUGUUCAGUCCUGGAGACAUGGGAGCUGUAGGAUAUUUUGAACCAGGAGGGUUUCAGAAUUCCUCUUCAAGGCCAUCUGGGUACGUGGACUGCAAAGCACCUGGCAGCUCCCUGUGCCCACGAAGUUACUGUGCUCCAUGUUGUGCAUGGCUCUUCUCCUCACCUGUCAUCCAGGGGUGUCAUAGGUAUGCUGCCCUGUUCCUCAGACUGUAAACUGGCUUCUUGAUUACCCUCAUGGCUCCUUUUCCUUCACAUGAGAUUUUAUGGUUUAAAAAAAAAAAAAAAAAGAACCCACACAGUUUGUGGCUGAAUGCUGUGGUCAAGGACCUGGGCCAUAGCGCACUUGUACUGGGGAGAUCAGCAGGGAGAUUACUGAGAGGCAAACUCACCUGCCCAGAGUCUGGACUGUGGCUCUGCAGGCUCUGAUACCUGAUUCUUCCCUCAUACUGAGAUGAUCCCUACACUCCAGGAAGUGGACAUAGAAGACCAGAAAGUCAGGGCACAGAUUGAGCCCUGCUAGAGGCUAGAUUCUUAACAUCUGCCCGAAAGUUGUUAGCAACCCUGGUGUUGCCACUGGGAUUGUACCUCCGUUUGUGCAUAGGUCUUGAGGGAAGCUGGAGGAACAGAAACCAGAACAUGGGGAGUGGACAGUGCCUGGACAGUAUCUGUACAUUUCUGGCUCUUUGUCUUUCCAUUUUCUUUCCUCUAAGGCUUAGAGUCCAAGCUGAAUGUUAGUUUCCUCUGUGUUUCUCUAAUGAAUGAUUAGGUUUCUGCUCAUGAAAUUAAAAUCUCAUUCUAUGCCCUUUGGGACAAUAAAUUUAGACUUGAUGGAAGUUUAGAACGACUCCCAAAUUAUUCAGUAACACAUUUAAAGACAGUCUCUUGUCUGUCCCUAUGAUGGCCAGCCACAUCGAAUGUGAGAGCCUGGGGGGAGUAAAAAGAGGGUUUUGGAGUGGGACAGAUGGAUCUGGAUCAUAGACAAUUUGUUCAACCUCAGCUUUCUUACCUGUGAAAUGGUGAUGUCAAUCCUUACCUGGCACACGCAGAGCACUUGGCACCACCUGGCACAUAGCAGGUGCUCCAUGAAUGGCAGCUACUGUUACUGUGUCUGGAGUUGGUUCCUUCCAGUUGGUUCGUGGUCUCACUGACUUCAAAAAUGGAGCCACCAACCUUCACAGUGAGUGUUACAGCUCUUAAAGAUGGCACGGACCCAGAGUGAGUAGCAGCAACAUUUAUUGUGAAGCGCGAAAGAACAAAGCUUCCACAGCAUGGAAGAAGAUCCGAACGGGUUGUCCCUGCUGGCUGGAGGGUGGUCAGCUUUUAUUCCCUUAUUUGUCCCUGCUCAUGUCCUGCUGAUUGGUCCAUUUUACAGAGUGCUGAUUGGUCCAUUUUACAAACCUCUAGCUAGCUCUACAGAGCACUGACUGGUGCAUUUUACAAACCUCUAGCUAGCUACAGAGUGCUGAUUAGUGCAUUUUACAAUCUCCUUGUAAGACAGAAACGUUCUCUGAGUCCCCACUCGACCCAGGAAGUCCAGCUGGCUUCACCUCUCAUUACCACCACAGUGGACUUUAGUAGGCUAAUGGUCAAAGGCAACUUUAUCUUUGUGACCAGGAGAUAACUUUUUCCCCAAAUGGGUGAAAAGACUAAGGUUCUGACAUGUUGCUUCCGGGCUCCUGCUGUGGAUAUCAUCAACCACAGCCACCUGGAAACAUUCCCGAGAUACCUAUUUUUCCUACAGAGAAGUCAAGUUAUUUUUCCUACCUUCGGUCCUUAGUUCUCAUUCUCCAAGGAACUCAACAGUCCUGAGCAACACUGAGGUCUCAGGGGCCUAGUUCCAUGAGGGACUCUGUGGCAACUGGCCCCUGGGUCCCUCCCCUCCCAUCCAGGGCCGCCCCAGCGGUCUCCAUGCCCAGGGCGCCUCUUCCCUCUUCAACAGCCCCAGGGGCACCAGGGCCGCUUCUCACUCAACACUGUCUCUGGGCGACCUCGCGAGCUCAGUGGCAUCACUGACCAUCAAGACGCCCCAAUUUGCAUCUACAUCACAGCAGCAUCUGCCGGCUUUAGGUCCUGUCUUCACCAGGAUGUCCCACAGUCGCUUCACACUAAGAGCCCAACUGGCCCCUUCCUUGCCCGGACCCGGAGCUCCUGUCGGGGACCGUUGAACCACCGAGUGGGCGGUCAUCCGGGUGUCUCAGAGCAGACCGAGAGCAGGUGCGCAGACCUCUGUGGACGGCUACUUCCGGUGCGCUCCCAACAGGUUUCCGCCCGGGGUCACCGGCCGCAGUGCUCCUUUCGGCUCCAGGGAAGCGCGGACUCGCCCCUGCUGCCCGCCCGGCGUUGCCUCAGCACAUCCCUGACCGUCGGAGGAGCCCCUAGAAGUGGCAGUGGGCGCAAUGGUGGCGGCGUGUGGCGGGGCCGUGCCCAGAAGCGCUCGCAGUCCCGGAGCGAUUCUUCGGCGCCUUAAACCUGGGGUUCCGGAAGCUGUAGCCCCCGUUUCAAAAUCCGCCGGAAGCGCCUGACCCCCAGAAGUCGCGCUCUGCCCUGACCUGCCGGAGAGCGGGGGCCGCGCGGAGUUUCCGCGGGACUUCCUGCUGUGGAGGUUAAAGCACGGUUUGUCAAAACGCCUUAGAACUUGCAAUGCCGGCCAUUCGCGUCGGGGUGGGGUCCCCAGAAGCAGACCCUGAGGUGAGGCUUCCUGUAUUCUUGGCUUAUUGGGAGGCGCAGGCUCGGCCAGUGAGGACUGGGAAGAAGAGGAGGCCAGCCCGGGUGAGCGUCGUGCAGAGGCCGCGGGGUGACCGGGUCCAGUCCUGCAGGGGGGUCUGGAACAUGUUCGGAUCGGACCUCAGCGCGGAUCCCUCCCGUCGGGGUGGAGGGAGCUGGGCCUUUUCUGCCUCAGCGGCUUUAGGACUGUUCCAGGAAGAGGUGAGCAGCGGCGGCCCUCGACCCAGAGAAGCAGGGGCCACAAGGAACUGGGUGCAGGAAGGUGGUGAAGGGCCCAAAGGACGCGUGCGUGGCCUCAGGAAGUGCCGGAAGAAAGCCUGAGUCUGAAUCUGAGAAUUUCUCCAGGUUUACCUUCUUGAGGGGUCGCCAAACUGUUUUCCAAAGCAGCUGCCUCAUUGUACCUUCCCAUUCUGUAUCUGUUCAUCCAUACAGCCAUACAUGACAGUUUCUCCACAUCCUUAUCAACACUUGUUAUUGGCCUUUUUUUAAAAAAUCAUAGUCAUAGCUGGUGGGUGUGAAGUGGUGUCGCUUUGUGGUUUUGAUUUGUAUUUCCUUGAUAAGUAAUGAUGUUAAGCAUCACCUCACAUGCUUAAUGGCCAUUUGUGUAUCUUUGAAGAAAUAUCUAUUCAAAUCUUUUGCCCAUUUAAAAACUACUUGUCUUUUUA